AGAGACAGCAGCAGCCGCGGUAAUACAGAGGGUGCGAGCGUUAAUCGGAUUUACUGGGCGUAAAGCGUGCGUAGGCGGCUAAUUGAGUCGGAUGUGAAAUCCCCGAGCUUAACUUGGGAAUUGCAUUCGAUACUGGUUAGCUAGAGUGUGGGAGAGGAUGGUAGAAUUCCAGGUGUAGCGGUGAAAUGCGUAGAGAUCUGGAGGAAUACCGAUGGCGAAGGCAGCCAUCUGGCCUAACACUGACGCUGAGGUACGAAAGCAUGGGGAGCAAACAGGAUUAGAUACCCCUGUAGUCCCUGUCUCUUAUAC
rnacentral:rRNA from 1 species